ACUGCAUAACCACCGUCUCCGGCUUAGAGUCUUCAUACAGUUAUUGUCGUCGUCCUAGAAAACCCAUACAAUCGUCGACCCGGAGUUCUCAGACGGUCCGACCCUCCCUACUCGAGGCUCCAACGAGUUUCGAACUUUCGUUUGCUGCCUUCCAGAUUUUGAAUUUUGGUUGCUAUUGAAGUCAAGAUUACGGUUGGAACUCCAAUGAAGACAGUUAUCGUACAAGAAGUUUUGACUUCAAAUGCAACCUGGGUUAUACUUGAUAGGCAUCUAAGACGGGAAUCGAGGUUUUACCUUAAAUAUAUACCCUGCAAGGUUGCAGUAGUCCUUGAUAACUUUAGCCUAG